AGUGAACGCUGGCGGUAGGCCUAACACAUGCAAGUCGAACGGCAGCACAGUAAGAGCUUGCUCUUACGGGUGGCGAGUGGCGGACGGGUGAGGAAUACAUCGGAAUCUACUUUUUCGUGGGGGAUAACGUAGGGAAACUUACGCUGAUACCGCAUACGACCUACGGGUGAAAGCAGGGGAUCUUCGGACCUUGCGCGAUUGAAUGAGCCGAUGUCGGAUUAGCUAGUUGGCGGGGUAAAGGCCCACCAAGGCGACGAUCCGUAGCUGGUCUGAGAGGAUGAUCAGCCACACUGGAACUGAGACACGGUCCAGACUCCUACGGGAGGCAGCAGUGGGGAAUAUUGGACAAUGGGCGCAAGCCUGAUCCAGCCAUACCGCGUGGGUGAAGAAGGCCUUCGGGUUGUAAAGCCCUUUUGUUGGGAAAGAAAAGCAGCAGGUUAACACCCCGCUGUUCUGACGGUACCCAAAGAAUAAGCACCGGCUAACUUCGUG
rnacentral:rRNA from 1 species